rfam:Loxodonta africana unplaced genomic scaffold scaffold_1, whole genome shotgun sequence.
GUGGUGUAAAUAGUUAACAUACUUGGCUGCUAACCAAAAGAUUGAUGGUUCAAAUCCACCC